UACGAAGGGGGCUAGCGUUGCUCGGAAUCACUGGGCGUAAAGCGCACGUAGGCGGAUUGCUAAGUCAGGGGUGAAAUCCUGGAGCUCAACUCCAGAACUGCCUUUGAUACUGGCAACCUUGAGUCCGGGAGAGGUGAGUGGAACUGCGAGUGUAGAGGUGAAAUUCGUAGAUAUUCGCAAGAACACCGGUGGCGAAGGCGGCGACCUGGGUCGACACUGACGCUGAGGCGCGAAAGCGUGGGGAGCAAACAGG
rnacentral:rRNA from 1 species